GACGUAGGGCGCGAGCGUUGUCCGGAUUAUUGGGCGUAAAGAGCUCGUAGGCGGCUUGUCGCGUCGUCCGUGAAAACCUGUGGCUCAACUGCAGGCUUGCGGUCGAUACGGGCAGGCUGGAGUUCGGUAGGGGAGACUGGAAUUCCUGGUGUAGCGGUGAAAUGCGCAGAUAUCAGGAGGAACACCGGUGGCGAAGGCGGGUCUCUGGGCCGAUACUGACGCUGAGGAGCGAAAGCGUGGGGAGCGAACAGG
rnacentral:rRNA from 1 species